UAGGGAAUCUUCCGCAAUGGACGAAAGUCUGACGGAGCAACGCCGCGUGAGUGAAGAAGGAUUUCGGUUCGUAAAACUCUGUUGUUAGGGAAGAAAAAAUGUAUAGUAACUAUAUACAAAAGAGACGGUACCUAACCAGAAAGCCACGGCUAACUACGUGCCAGCAGCCGCGGUAAUACGUAGGUGGCAAGCGUUGUCCGGAAUUAUUGGGCGUAAAGCGCGCGCAGGUGGUUUAGAAAGUCUGAUGUGAAAGCCCACGGCUCAACCGUGGAGGGUCAUUGGAAACUAAUAAACUUGAGUGCAGAAGAGAAAAGUGGAAUUCCUAGUGUAGCGGUGAAAUGCGUAGAGAUUAGGAGGAACACCGGUGGCGAAAGCGGCUUUUUGGCCUGCAACUGACACUGAGGCGCGAAAGCGUGGGGAGCAAACAGG
rnacentral:rRNA from 1 species